AUGGCGAGGGGCGACCCCAGCCGCCAGGCUGUGGGCUCGGGUCGCGCGCCCUUCACCCUCCAGGCCCGCCACACCAGGCCCCCUUGGGGCAGGGGGCCUGGGUCCCCCAGGCAGGUCUCCCCGGGGCACUCUGGGGACACUGGAAGCCUGCCUGCCCCAAACUGCGCCCCAUGGCGGCUGCCUGUCCACCGGACACAACGUAACCCGCACAGACCGCCUGCCGCCGGGCGCCCGGAACCUGCCACCAGUUCGGAGCUCGGGCCCCACGCAAGGGACACGCCACAGCCCCGGCGCCAGCACCGGAAGGCCCGCCGGGCCCCAUGGGACCCUCUCCUUUGCGUGGCACACCCAUGCACACCCAGGCCUCCCUACCUCCAGCACCAGCGUCUCCACGGGAGACGCACCAGGCCCUGGGCCCAGCGGGACCCUCGCACCGAAACUCACGCCCCUUCCGCCGCCGCCUGCCCCCUUUCCUCCACAGCAGACUCCCUCCUUGCCACCAGCUCCCGCCCGGCACCAGCUCGGCUGGGCUCCAGUCCGCAGGCGUGGCUAGCUCUGCUGGGUAUCAACCUCACACUGCCUCCCACUGCGCAACUCCCUGUCCUCCCUCCCCGGGAACACGGCCUCAGCCAGGCCAGGGGCGCCGCACGGCCUCAACGCCCAGCCCCGUGUGUGGACACCUUAGCGGCCCCGGGAGCUGGCCGCGGGCUCACACAUCUAUGGCCCGCCGGCACCCAUGACCGGCCAGGGCACAGGCACCCAGCGCCCAUUCACGUGCCCGGGACCCCUCUGUCCUGCAUUCCACGCGCCGCCCAAAUCUCUGAGGAUAUCCCACAUCAUAGCCCAGGACGCCCUGAGGCACUGCCGCCCCGGGCACCCAACUCUCCCCCUCACGGUGCUGUGCGCACACUGGCCCAGGACCUCUGGCCCUCCCGCACUUCUCUCGACCCCAUCCGCGGCCGACUCGGCACCGCCCAGGGCCACCUGGCGCCCCACCGCCUCCACGUCUCUGGGAACUGCCGCAGGGGCUCCAGGCUUCCCGAUGCCCCCCAGGGACUCUGCGAGGGACAGGCACUGGCAGCCCCGCCGACCCCGGGAAGAUGCAGGCAAAGGCAUCCACCCCGCCCAAACGGCCAUCUCGGCAAGGCCCCCCGGCCUGCCUCCUCUCUCCCCACCAGAACCUGGGUCGGCAGUCCCGCCGAGGCCAAGGCCCCCGCUGCUCACCCGCAACCUACAGACAGCCUCUGCGCCCGACACCGCGGGCAGGACCUCACGGAGGCAGCCGCAGGCCUGAGAGCCCAGCGGAGCUCACGCACACCGCAGGCAGCCCACCCCACACUGGGCCUGCCACUCCCAAGGCUUUCCCGCCGGGCACCGGGGCCCCGGGGCCCCGGGGCUGCCCGCGAGGAGGCCAGCCCCAAGGCUCCUCUCCCCAUGGCCCUCCCGGGCCACCGGAGGCCUGCCUGCCCCCACCUGCGCCCCAGGGCUGCACGCACCCAAGGGAGCCAAGGCAACGGGACCCUCCCCCGACGUCCCCUGUGGGAGCCACGUGCCGGACCUCAGUUUGCGAUGAGGAGACGGUAGUGAGUUCUCACUCAUUUUGUUCAGAUUUUCCAAGGAAUGCGUUUGUGGGUGUCAUCAUCGAUCCGAGCACGGGCACACCCGCGGGACGGCCACCGCCACAGCCCCCACCGCCGGGACGGCCAGCCAGCUCCCUCCCGGACGCGUCCCGGAGCCUCCCGAGCCCAACCGCGGGCAAGCAGGUCAGCUCCACCCCCGGGAGCAGAGGGUGCGGGUCCGGGCGCCACACACCGCCCCCCGGGGGCUACCUUGGCGCAGGCCACUGCCGCUUACCAUCGCCUACCAGGUGGCCAUCGAUCCCGCCACCGGCCGCACGCCAACACGCCUCCCUCCGGCAGGAGGGACUGGCCUUCCCGGGGUCGCUCCCGACAGGCUCCGGCUUCCGCUCCCCGCGCUGGCCUCCGUCUCUCCGCCGCAGCAGCUGGGUGAGGGCGACAACGGACACGCGCAAGCACGCCUCAGCAAGGGGCCCAGCUGCCCAAGGCACAGGGGCCGGGCCCCCCACCGCCCAGGGCCUGUGGGCAGCCUGGCUGCCACCUGUCCCUGGCCUCCCCCCUCUCACUGGGUGCCAGCAGCCAAAGCGCCACACGGAGUGGCCAGCACUGCCCCUUCGCUGGGGCGCCACACCCUUCCCCCAGGAACCGCACCUCCCUCAGGCUCCCUAAGGCCCUGCCCACCCGCACCCCUCCCAGCUUAAGAGUCCACCCCAACCCCGAGUCCGAUUCCACCCCAAGGCCCACCCUGGGGCUCUCCCCCUCACCCGAUGGGAAAACACCCUCGCUCCGGCCACCGACACUGCCUGCCCACGCAGGGAGAGACACACGCGGCCCAGAGUGCUCUGCAGGAGCCUCAGCUCAGGACCGCUGACGUGCCCCUGGGGGCAAGGUCUCCGCCCCGAGAGCGGCUCCGCGGGCCCUGGACCCGGGGCGCCCAUGGGCACACCUGCACUCCACCCCUGCUAUCCCCAGCACGCUCUCAGGACCCCGGGCAAAACACAGACCCU
rnacentral:lncRNA from 1 species